AGAGAGAGGAAGACCAAGGCUAGUUCGUGGGUUUUGCUGCUGUUGCUGUGCUUGCUCUAAAUGGCUUCUCAAGAGACUUCCCUCCCUCUUUUACCAAUUGCUUUUGCUUUCGUCAUGAUCAUACUUGUCCUCCACCUCCACCUCCACCUCCACCAUCCAUGAAACUCAAUAUAACACAGUUUUCUCGGAACCCUUCUUAAGUUCUUCCCUACUUACGAUAUUCAAGUCUCAAGAGAGAAGAGAAGAACUGAGGGAGCUUCCUUCAUGCUUCAAACCAUACCCUCCGGGAUGUAGCAGGUUCUGUACAACUGGUAAAUCAAAGGCCAAAAAAUGGAACACACCAAGACAAACUAAAGAAUGACACACCAAGCAGGCAGAAUGCUGGAAUGGCUGCAAUCCAAAGAGGAAAGGAAUUC